GAUGAACGCUAGCGGGAGGCUUAAUACAUGCAAGUCGAACGGCAGCAUUUCGGAUGGCAAGUGGCGAACGGGUGAGUAACGCGUACAGACCUGCCUUAUACUGGAGGAUAGCCCUGGGAAACUGGGAGUAAUACUCCAUGUGAUCGUAAGAUUAAAGCUCCGGCGGUAUAAGAUGGCUGUGCGUCUGAUUAGCUAGUUGGUGAGGUAGAGGCUCACCAAGGCGACGAUCAGUAGGGGGCGUGAGAGCGUGGCCCCCCACACGGGUACUGAGACACGGACCCGACUCCUACGGGAGGCAGCAGUAAGGAAUAUUGGUCAAUGGAGGCAACUCUGAACCAGCCAUCCCGCGUGCAGGAUGACGGCCCUAUGGGUUGUAAACUGCUUUUAUUUGGGACGAAAAUUACGGAUUUAUCUGUAACUGACGGUACCUUAUGAAUAAGCACCGGCUAACUCCG
rnacentral:rRNA from 1 species